GUUCUGUAAUGUUAUAUACACACGGUUUUUCGGUGAAAUACAUAAUAAUCAACGCGACCUUAUACGCGCGAUAUACUUAUUUCCUUUCCAUUAUCGUCCAAAACGGAAACGGUGUGUUGUCUGCGCGCGUAACGGCCGUACAUUACAUUAUUACGUUGACGUGUAUUUCCAGUGUACUUUAACCGGGUACUUAUAUAAUGACUUUAUUAUUAUUUCGAAUGCGUCUGCAGUCAACAAAGAGUCG